AAAAAUUUAGUUAAUAAUAUAACAUUAACUUGUCAAGUUAAAAUAAUUAAUUUAUAAUAAUUUUUA
rnacentral:tRNA from 1 species